CGGGCGGCCGUGACCCUGCUGGAGUGUGGGUGGGACCUCCAGCCCCCCGGGGGGUCCCUGCGCCUCUUCUGCCGAGGGUCCGGGUUCAGUUUUGGGAAUUUUGACAUGUACUGGAUCCGCCAGAGCCCCGGGCAGGGGCUGGAGUGGCUCGCAGGCAUCUACAGCAGUGGUUCCAGCACCGCAUAUGCGCCAUCGGUCAAGGGCCGGUUCACGAUCUCCAGGGACAACGGGCAGAGCUCGGUGACGCUGACCAUGAACAACCUCAAGGCCGAGGAUUCCGCCACCUAUUUCUGUGCCAAGAGUGUUCGUGCUGGUGCUGGUGCUAAUACUGCGUAUGCUCUUGGCUCCUCCCCCAUGGCUGGGCCCCCUCCUGUCCCCGUUCCCCUGGCCCUUCCCCCAAACCGCAGCCCCUGA